AAACACUUUAGCUCGCUGAACUGCAGACUUUAGCAAGCUGCUGCAGGCUCACUGCCUCCCACCAAACAACACAACAGCUGAGGAUGUUUUUUCAGCUUUGCAUCUACAGAUCCAGUUGGAGAUGAAUCAGUUGGGCUGACUAGUUUGAGCUUGCAAUGCGGUUUUCCCUUUGCGCUUCACUUUUCUGCGCAUCUCUCUUUGUGGCACUGUUUUGACCUGGGGGUGGAGUCAAGAGACGGGGGUGUAUAACAACAUGCUUCCCUGGAAGUGACGUCAUUGGCCAGAGACGCAGCUCACUGAUCCAGGUUCUCCUUCAUAGGAUAAAAGCACCUUGUAGCAAAGCAGCUAAAGAGACAGGCAUGUCUUAACUUGGACCUUCAUAUGCUUCUGCUAAGAGGAGACAAG